rnacentral:misc_RNA from 1 species
GAUGAAGAACGUAGCGAAAUGCGAUAAGUAAUGUGAAUUGCAGAAUUCAGUGAAUCAUCGAGUCUUUGAACGCACAUUGCGCCCCCUGGUAUUCCGGGGGGCAUGCCUGUCCGAGCGUCAUUGCCGCCCUCAAGCACGGCUUGUGUGUUGGGCCCCCGCCCCCCGGCUUCGGGGGGCGGGCCCGAAAGGCAGCGGCGGCGCCGCGUCCGGUCCUCGAGCGUAUGGGGCUUCGUCACCCGCUCUGUAGGCCCGGCCGGCGCCCGCCGGCGACCCCAAUCAAUCUUUCCAGGUUGACCUCGGAUCAGGUAGGGAUACCCGCUGAACUUAAGCAUAUCAAUAAGCGGAGGA